UGGGGAAUAUUGGACAAUGGGCGAAAGCCUGAUCCAGCCAUGCCGCGUGUGUGAAGAAGGUCUUCGGAUUGUAAAGCACUUUAAGUUGGGAGGAAGGGCAUUAACCUAAUACGUUAGUGUUUUGACGUUACCGACAGAAUAAGCACCGGCUAACUCUGUGCCAGCAGCCGCGGUAAUACAGAGGGUGCAAGCGUUAAUCGGAAUUACUGGGCGUAAAGCGCGCGUAGGUGGUUUGUUAAGUUGGAUGUGAAAUCCCCGGGCUCAACCUGGGAACUGCAUUCAAAACUGACUGACUAGAGUAUGGUAGAGGGUGGUGGAAUUUCCUGUGUAGCGGUGAAAUGCGUAGAUAUAGGAAGGAACACCAGUGGCGAAGGCGACCGCCUGGACUAAUACUGACACUGAGGUGCGAAAGCGUGGGGAGCAAACA
rnacentral:rRNA from 1 species